rnacentral:lncRNA from 1 species
GGUCUUUCUGGCCAUGAUCAUAAACUUUCAACCAGCAGCCAGGUCAUAACAGGGAGGCACUGGAAGGUGUAAUGACAACAGGUUGUACAACAUCAGUGAAGUGGAGCCAAGGACAAAGGAAGAGGCAAGGAGAGGGAGGGAUGUUUUACAACUUACCGGGAAUUGUGACCAGUAUGAUGCACAGAGUUUCAGGCUUAAGAUAGGGAUGGGAAAAAGUAGAGAGGGGUUAACAACAGAUGCUGAUCUGUGGCUUUCAUUAAAUAAGUUCACAUGUGUUCUUAAGGACCUUUGAAUUUUGGAACAUCUGUGACAAUUUAUGAUUAGAAUAUUUGAUGAAAUGGUUUAAACUGAACAGAAAAACUUCCAUACCAGAGCAUUUUUAUCAGAUUUUUAAAAAUGCACCCAAAGUCUCUAUGAAACAUAUAAAAAUAGGCUUAUUUGGGUGUAAUGUGAAAGUGAACCAGUCCAACUGUGCCACCAAGAUCCUGCCUCUGAUGAUGCUUCUUUGCCCUCAUUCUUCUCUGCCUUUCAGAGACCAGCCAGAAAA